GUCUAUGGCCAUACCACCCUGAAUGCACCUGAUCUUGUCUGAUCUCAGAAGCUAACCAGGGUUGGGCCUGAUUAGGAGACCACUUGGGAAUACAGUGUGCUUCAAAAA
rnacentral:rRNA from 1 species